rnacentral:lncRNA from 1 species
UGGGCAGAGGAACCACGACGGCCAUGCGGAAGCCACACAAGAGCGAUCCAAUGUCUCAUCUCCGCCCUCAAUCAUGGCCUCCGCUGAUGCCAAAGUAAACCCAUUCAGCUUCAGGAGGCUUUUCAGCAAACAAAGCAUAAUUUGUACGACGGAUCUGUGUGUUACAGUAGAGGAUCACGGGCAUUUGAAAUGACACAACUGGAAGCUAAAUCCAACAGCAGGGGAGACCCUUACCAAGGCGAGGUAUGAUGCUCCACUUGGUCUCACUGCCUCCCGUCUCUGCUCCAUCCAAUCUAUCUUCCAGUCCAGAAGUGAAGGUUUUGUGCCAAAAUGCAUUCACCCAUCCAAACAUUCAAUAAAUAUCUACUAAGUACCCACUAAAGGUUAGGUGUGCGUGAAGCCCUGGUGGCAAAGAAAUAAACAGACCCGACCUCUUCCCUCAAACAGCUAGUGAACAGUGCAAACCAUGGCAUGGUUUGAAAAAUGAGCAUGAGGACUGCCCAGGGUCCCUUUGGGAAAUGCUGAACAGAGUGUGCAUGGCACAUUCAACAGUUCCUUGGAGCAUGGAGUACCCACGGGCAAGAGUGGGAGAGAAAGCGAGGAGGCAGGCAAAGGCCAGGGCAGGAAGGCCCCAAAAGGCCAUGUGGACCUCACCACGUGAUUUCUGUUUAGAAACUUUCAAUGGUGCCCCAUUCCAAACCCUUAAGUAUGGCCUCUGUGCGUCCUGGUGUAGCCCCCAAGCUACAUUUCUGAUCCAUUCUCAACUCCUAGUACUGUGCUACACCCAUCUACACCUCACUCCUCAAAGACUCGAAGUAAACUCAUGCUCUUGGCCUGAUUCAAAUAAUUCCCUUAGGCCACUCUGGACCCCAAACCGUCUCCUCCACAUCUCGGCCUGCUGAAACCGGACUUACCGUUUCUUCAGUAUAAUACUGCAGCCACUAACCAGUAGGAAUUAAGCAUGGUCCUACCUUCAAGGAGGUUAGACUCUUGUGGAAGAAAAGGAUAAGUUUAGUUAACUAUCGUGUAACUAUAAAAGACAUGGUGAUGAUAUGUGAUAGGUGUUUCCAAAAAAUCACUUCACUGUAGUAACAAUACAGUGGGAAAUGAGUUGUCGGACUUUGCAAGGAAUGUUUCAAGAAUAAAAGCAUUUAAACUGAUCCUUGCCAGUUAAAUAGGGUCCAACCAAUCACAACAGACACUAAUACCAGCUGAUUGUUACCUUUCCAUCUCUUGCUGUACCUCGUUAACAAUAGAAUCUCAAAAAAUGCCUGCUGAAUAAACCAUACAUAUGCAUAAUAAACUCCAAAAGAAAGUA